rnacentral:rRNA from 1 species
UACGUAGGGUGCAAGCGUUGUCCGGAAUUAUUGGGCGUAAAGAGCUCGUAGGCGGUUUGUCGCGUCUGCUGUGAAAACUCGGGGCUUAACUCCGGGCCUGCAGUGGGUACGGGCAGACUAGAGUGCGGUAGGGGAGACUGGAAUUCCUGGUGUAGCGGUGGAAUGCGCAGAUAUCAGGAGGAACACCGGUGGCGAAGGCGGGUCUCUGGGCAAUUCCUGACGCUGAGGCGCGAAAGCGUGGGGAGCAAACGGG